AUGCAAAGAUUGAUUAAAGCUCCAAUGCUAAUGACUGACACAGAGCAAGUUCAAACUACUGUGAAGCAGAGAAGGUUAUUGGAAAACUUCAUACAAAGGGCUAUUCUCCUUCCAAAUUUUGGUAAACUUGAAACUUUUUCGGCUACAAGUUUCAAUUUUCCUACUUUAUUAGAAACUAAAGGGAUUAUGGACAUUGUAUCUGAUUCAGGCUGUAUUAUCCAGAUUUGA